rfam:Wallemia ichthyophaga EXF-994 unplaced genomic scaffold scaffold25, whole genome shotgun sequence.
GGUCUCUUAACUCAGUUGGUUAGAGUGUGGAGCUAAUAUUAGAUCACUCCAAAGUCGCAGGUUCGAGCCCUGCAGGGACCA